ACCUUCUGUGGUGCGUAGUUGGAAGCGCCUAGAUUUAGUAAUUAUAAGCCCUAGGUUCAAGUCCCGGUUGGGGUA